UCGGAGUACGUGUGCCUUGCGCCCUAUUAAAGGACAGAUUUUAAUAGCGUUGCUAUUGUUACGUGUUAGAAUAAAGUUUACAUAGGUGCUAAAGAUGCACUUAUGUAGGUGCAUAGAUGGUAAAGGUUACAUAAUAUAAAGUAUUUAUUGUCAAAUGUCUCACCGGUUCGAAAACGACACAUUCGGCGCUGUAACUAGCACCUGCGACAACUCCCGCCCCGCCAACCAAGCCGGAUGCGAGAUUAUCCACAAUAUUGCCAUACAAGUUUGGCAUUACCAUGACGUCGAACUGGUGCGGAUUAGAGACCAUCUGCAUAGUGCAAUUGUCGACGAUCAUUGUUUCAAACGUAAUCCUGUUGUCGAAAACAAAAUAUAUGUGAGAAUAUGAAAAGGAUAUUUUGAAAUAAUUUUUAUAACACAUAUCGAUAGUUUUCAAAUAAUGAGGAUACUACUUAAAUACCUAGGAUACAUUUUGGCAAUCUCUUGGCACGACUUAAGGAAAAGUCCGUCACCGAGUUUCAUUAUAUUAGCUUUGUGAACACACGUAACUUUCUUGCGAUUAUUCUUCACCGCAUAGUCGAAGGCGAAUUUCGCGAUUCUUUGGCUCUUAGUAGCAGUUACAAUUUUCAGGCACUCUACCACCCCCUUGACAGAUUCGUGCUCCAAUGCGGAAUACUCCCCUUCCGUUUGUUCUCUGAUGAUUACACAGUCUACAUUUUGAUGACGCGACCUGAUACCUGGCAAAGACUUAACAUGUACCACAUUCGAAUAUAGAUCCAGGCUUUUGCGCAAUUUCAUGUUCAGAGUUUGCAAUUCUCCUGUAUGGGAAUGAUCGGGUGUAGCUAAGAUACCCUGU